GGCUUCAGUGGAUCAGGGGGCCUGGCUGUUAACCAGAAGGGUGCUGGUUCGAGGCCACCCAGGGACA